rnacentral:tRNA from 1 species
GGAGGAAUAGCUCAAAUGGUAAAGAGCUUGCCUAGCAAGCACAAGACCCUGAGUUCAAAUCCCAGUUCCACCA